UUGUAAUGCCUCGUCCCUCAGUGGUAUUCUUGGCAACUCCCCUCCCUGCAGGGCAUGAGAUGGCUCUCCUGGUGAAACUCAAAUCACUAAGUCUGCAUUCAUCUACCUUGAUACUUUGGUGCUUGACCCUUCUCAGCCUCUGUUCUGGGCUCUGGUGCAAUUGUGCUGCUUAUGUAGUCUGAGAUGUUCAUCCCUUGAGACAAUGAACCACGGUGUGUGCGUGCUAUCUGUAGGCAGGACCAUAUUUGGACUGAAAGCCACGGGUAAAAUUGGUUGGCAACAAUUUUUAGAAAAAAAUUAGGAUCCUGGGGGCGCCUUUGAAAACAAGCAGACCAUUCCUAUGAGAAAAAAUAAAGUAAAUCCAGCUAGAGGAGAUGAAGCUUUAUCCAGUGACACUGUGCUUCAGAAGCUGUGCAGAUAUACCCAGGAUGCUUACCCAUCUUUAAAGCAGGCAUUUCUUAUGCUUGAUGAAGUAAGAGCAAUUAUUGUUAGGUGUUGCCUUGCUUAACUACUCUUACACAUAACCAUUUUUGUCGUAUAUCAGUUUCAAAGUAAUAUAGUGGCUGCCAGUCUUUCUUCUGUGGUACAGUAGCUUGCAGAGACUGUUUCCAGUUUCUUUAACAUAGAUAUGUGCAACCUGGGACUAAAUAAUCUGUAAUAACAUUUCUGAUAAAGAAAACUUAUUGAACUAGAAUUUCACUGGAAGUCUUGUUGACUAGUUCUUUAAUCAUCCCUGUGGC